UCAACAUCAUAAACAAGGUCUACACAUCUAUUGUGCACAUUAGAUUUCUGUUUUUUUUUUUUAACUAGGUAAAGACCGCUUUUACCACCUGUGAAACAUUUUGUUUUUUUAUUAAUUUUGAGUUUGCCACUGUCAAGAAAGAAGAUUA